CACCCACACAACAGACAGUUUGAUCGCAGUAUAACCUCAUCCUAGCCCGAUUUCAAACAUUGUCAACACGCCCAAGAGAAAGGAAGCAUCUUUUGAUCUUGCCUGAGUUUAUGUUGAUGAGGUGACUAGGACUGAUCCCUAGGGAGCCUCAGGAUGGGGCCCGGCUGCCAGAAAGACCAAGUAAUCAGCUGGCUCAAAACUUUCAGCCCAGACUACUGACCAUUCGGGAGAAAUGAAAUGCUAACAUUGAACUAUAAGAAAUUGGAGAACGGAGGCUUGAGUCACUUCUAGGUUGAUGGACGGACACACUGCAUGCUGAUGGGAUAGCCUACUUGAAGAAGACUCGGAUGCAGGCAUUUCUGAGAUAAAAGAAUUUAUGGAGAACUAUUCCAUGGGCUUGAGUAUAUCUGAGCACCACACAGCAUCCACAAAAGCCUGGAUCCAAUUCCCGGCGCUAAAAUAAAUAGAUAAAUAGAUAAAUUUAAGAGCAAGAAAAGUUACAGAUGCUAGUUAGGAUUCUGGGACCAAUGACACGGCUGGAGAGCCACAGAAAAGAUGCCCGCUAAAUCCAGGCACUAGUGAGCCAUUUAUGUAAGAGAAUUUGAAAGAGGAAGGCAUAAACUGAACUGGAUCUCCAUUAGCAAUAGAUGAGAGGGAAGAGAUGAUACAGGGAAAGGGAGUGUGGAGACAGGAGGAAAGCCCACAGGAAUUACUUGUUGCUUCUGAACGAUGGAAUUUUAUUGGAGAUCGCAAUGUCUGCUCUAGAAUGCAAAACACUCUAUUGUUACUUUGCCCCAAAGCUGUCGUCUGACCCUUUGAAACUGAAGUUAGGACACCUCAGACAAGUGCUCUCAUUCCUUAUACUUUGUCUUGUCUAUCUCCUCCACCUGGUUGCCCUUCAGUUGAAUCCCUUUGUAAUAAUAACUAUCACUAAAGUAACUAAUCAUACUACGAACCAAUGAGAUGGCUCAGCAGGUAUAAGCACAUGUCAGCAAGCUAGACAACCCGGAUUAGAUCUGAAAAACCCACAUGGUAGAAGGAGUGAAAUGGCUUUCAGGCUUUCUCCUGACCACAAGAUGCAGCAAUGGAACCCAGGACAGAAGAGCACGGCUUUGUCCCUGUCUGAGUGAGAAGCUAAUCCCAAAUCCAGCCUCAGCACCUAUGUUGCCAGAUCAAUCCUGGCCACUUACCACAGCCUCCUGGAUCAUGUGAAUGAAAUUUAAACCAGUUUAUCCCAUUGUUAUUUCUGUAAAAUCAGCUCUUCCUGGGCUGGUCUGCUGGAGCAAUCACAAAAGUCCUGCCAUCUGCAAUAGUCCUUUCAAAUCUUAACGUAUCGUCUCCUGUGAUCACAGUAAAAUACAGGGCGACUUCUUAGUAUUACAGUAAGGACUACACAACAUAAUCUACUAAAUAAAUGACAGACAAAAUAUG